rnacentral:rRNA from 1 species
UACGUAGGGUGCGAGCGUUAAUCGGAAUUACUGGGCGUAAAGCGUGCGCAGGCGGUUCGUUAAGUUCGUUGUGAAAGCCCCGGGCUCAACCUGGGAACUGCGUUUGAAACUGGGAGACUUGAGUGUGGCAGAGGGGGGUGGAAUUCCACGUGUAGCAGUGAAAUGCGUAGAUAUGUGGAGGAACACCGAUGGCGAAGGCAGCCCCCUGGGCUAACACUGACGCUCAUGCACGAAAGCGUGGGGAGCAAACAGG